GUGAGGUCACUGAUGCAAUGUCUGUGUCAUAUCUGCGGGGGUUCUGACGCUUGCUUUCUCUCUCCGGGCCCUGCUUCUCUUGCUUUCGGGGUGUCCUUUGGUUUUUGUUGGAAUUGGAGGUGUGUCACAUGCCGGAAAGGAGCCUCCGAGGACCUGGACGUGCGGACCCGUCUUUGUGGUGUGCAGCUGGGGGCCAGGUGUCCGUGCACUGGUUCCCGUCCCCGUGCUGGGACCUCUCUGUCCCAGGAGGGGCCCGCGGCCAGCACACCUGCCAGCUGUCCCCAUGACAGCUGAGGUUCGACAGGAGGAGCACCCGUAACCUCGUCGCCCAGCUCUCUGUGCCCCCGGGCCUGUGCUGCCCAGGCUGCUUGCUGGCCCGUCCCUGCUGACGCAUCCCCGUGUGUCCCCAGACACCCAGCCGCUGUGGCUGCACCUGUUUGCUUUCCUCCCCGAGGAAGUUCGAGUUCAUGUCUCAAAACCAACUCAACGUCGUCACCUCAGUGAGUCUGUCUCCACUGACGUGGUGAGCCGGGAGUCUGCUGCCGGGCCCUCUUCACUGUGACUUUCAGCAUCGCGUGCUGCGCUGACCACCGGGGCCCACCUCCGGACCUUGCUUUCUCACAGUGCAGCAUUCCACAUCGCAUCAGUCGUGGGAGCUUCACCGUCAGCGUGCUCUGGAAGCUGACCGCUUCUCCGCAGGCUCACCACUGCCCCUUGACCCUGAGCUCACUCAGUUUUCCUCUCCCACCUGUCUUCCUACAUCCACGAACCCCACCCCCACUGCGAUCCAUGACUAGUUCAGCGGCCACAGGAGCUUCUGCUCAAACCUGCCUUUGGUCUCUAAUGUCCUUCCCGUGACCUACAAGGGUGGGAUGAUCCAGCAUCCUUGUUGGGGGCUCAUCUCAGCGCUUCUGUGCACAGCAGAUGCUGUGAUCCUCCCUUGCCUCCCUGGCCAUUCUUGUACUGCUCCCGACGACCCCCACCGGCCCCCUUGAGAAUCCAGAGCACAGCCUGCUGAACCUUCCCAGGCAUCUGCAGGAACGGCUGCCUCAGCUCCCGCGGACUUGCUCACGCAUCAAUAUGGCCUCAGUGGCCCCUAAUACAUGUGCCUGUAUUAUCCACCCUCUUUCCCUUUCUCUGCAAAGCACUAAUUACCUUCAGACACAGCACUCAGUUAAUGCAUCUCGUCUGCACUUGCUGCUGUAACUUCCAGGCUCCGUCCCCAGGCCUUGGAGUAGAUCUUAGCUCGGUCAUGCUCAAUAAAUAUUUAGUAGGCAAUGUACCUGCCUUUACACUAUGAGCUUUAAUAAGCCAGCCAUUCCUUGUUUUUAGCAGCUUUAUUGAAAUAUGAUUGAUACUAUUUAUGACAAUUACGAUGCGAUCUAUAAUUUUGUGAGUUCGGGCCCACACAUAUACCUGUGAAACCAUCGCCACAAUCAGGAUAAUAAACAUACCCAUCUUGUUCAAA